GACGAACGCUGGCGCGUGCUUAACACAUGCAAGUCGAACGGUGAAGCGCCUUCCUUUUGGUGGGUGUGGAUGAGUGGCGAACGGGUGAGUAACACGUGAGUAACCUGCCCCCUUCUUCUGGAUAACCGCAUGAAAGUGUGGCUAAUACGGGAUAUUCUGUGCCUGCUGCAUGGUGGGUGUGGGAAAGAUUGCGCCCUUUUUGGGUGUUUUUGGUGGGGGAUGGGCUCGCGGCCUAUCAGCUUGUUGGUGGGGUGAUGGCCUACCAAGGCGGUGACGGGUAGCCGGCCUGAGAGGGUGGACGGUCACACUGGGACUGAGACACGGCCCAGACUCCUACGGGAGGCAGCAGUGGGGAAUAUUGCACAAUGGGCGCAAGCCUGAUGCAGCGACGCCGCGUGAGGGAUGGAGGCCUUCGGGUUGUGAACCUCUUUCGCCAGUGAAGCAGGCCUGCUCCUUGGUGGGUGGGUUGACGGUAGCUGGAUAAGAAGCGCCGGCUAA
rnacentral:rRNA from 1 species